AAACCAUGGUGAGGGCAAUGAGUAGUGUAGCCCUUGAAGCGUUCCCAAGCUUUAAAAAAUGAUUCGGAAUGUCGUUGUGCAAAACCCGAGAUCUCAUUCCUUAAUCU